ACAUCAAAAAGAAUGCCUUGAAGAGUAGAAUAAAUGUUUAAAAUGCAUAUAGCUGACAAAGUAUUCAUCUUCAGAAUAUUGUGUGUGUAUGUGUUAAUUGUGUGUGUAUAAUAAAAACAAGCAACCUUAAAUGGAGAAAAUAUAUUAAGAAGCAUUUUGCAUAAAGAACAUCUGAAUCAUUUAUUAAAAUGCUUAACCUCACUGUUUAUCAAGGAAGUACAUGAUAAGCAGGAAUUAAGUCCAACUUUACAACCAUUAUGUAAGUUAAAAAAUUAGAAGUGGGUAAAUACUAAGUGUUGGAGAACAUGUAAAACAAUAGGAAAUCUCAUAAAAUUGCUAAUAGGUGCUUCAAACAGAAUGACCACAUUGGAGAGCAAUUUAGUAAUUUGAAUGGGGAGCAAUUUAGUAAUUUCCAAGUAAUUACCAAGUUAUCUCACUCCUAGGAAUAUACCCUGUAGAAUAGCUUGCAUAUAUAUACUAUAUUAGAAGGUAAUACACAAUGAUUUUUUUUUUUUGAGAGGGAGUCUGGCUCUGUAGCCUAGGCUGGAGUGCAGUGGCACCAUUUCAGCUGGCUGCAAACUCCGCCUCCUGGGUUCAAGCAAUUCUCCUGCCUCAGCCUCCCGAGUAGCCGGAAUUACCGGCUCCUGCCACCCUGCCGGCUAAUUCUUGUUUUUUUAGUAGAGAUGGGGUUUCACCAUGUUGGCCAGGCUGGUCUUGAACUCCUGACCUCAGGUGAUCCGCCCUAUGCAAUGAUUUUCAAUGCAGAGAUGAUCUGUAGUAUUGAAAACAUUAGAAACAACCUACAUGUCUAGCAAAGUAGAAUGGAUAAAUAUAUUAUGAAAUACUGAAAUGAAAAUGAAAAAAACCUUGUCUACAUAUACAAGCAUGGAGUAUCUCAAAAAAAACAUAAAUUUAUACCUGAAAAAUGAAGCCAAACUAAGCUACAUGUGUAUACUUCAAUAUGGUCAUUUUGAUUAUAUUUUCAUACAUACAGAAUGAACAUUUAUAUCUUAAUAUCAAACUCAGGAAUAAAGCUUACCUUAAGAAAGGAAGUUUCAUGUAUUUGUACUGUUUAAUUUCUUAAGAUGGUGAUAGUUUUUUUUAGUGUUACUUAUUGAACUUUCUUUCAAAACAUUUUACAAAACUUUUCUCUUAACCAAUAAAACCCCAAUCUUUUCUUUUGUUCUGUGGACACCCUGAAGACCAUUAUUGGAAAAAAAUAAUUGCUAUGGUGACAUUUUAGCUUUUAAUUUGAAGUUUAAUAUUAGAUUGUUGAAUGGAGAAAAUCAAUGUUGUUUUCACUUAUAUUUAUAUACUCUAAUAUACCAUCUCUAACUGAAAUGUU
rnacentral:lncRNA from 10 species